rnacentral:lncRNA from 1 species
CUGACCAAUUCUCUGGCCACAGUGAUUAACUAGAUCAACAAUAGGCCUGUGACUGAGCUCUGAGACUUCCACUGGUAUUUCCAGGAAAAAGAAGUUUUCUUUGCUGGAGAAUUUGUAACCUGGAAGGUAUCUACCUGGAGUUCUUGGAGGUUACCUUUGUCAUCAACUGAGAAUGAAACUGAUAUUGAAGGAAGCAGGGCUGGGAAAUGAAGUGAUUCUGACUGAUGUGGCCUAAGAAUGAAAUCAACACCAGAAAGAUGUGAAGCAAGUCAGCCAAAUUCUGCCGACUGCUUACUCUCCUUCAGUCCUGUCCACAAGACCAGACUUUGGCAGCUGUAUCUGCCGUGGGAUCACCUAAGUGGACAGAUUGCCGAGAAUUCUACCUGCUCUCAUGCCUUUUCUUUUGCUAUUAAACUCAGUAGCUCAAAUGCAAAGGGUACAUGGGAGUUCGACUCUUAAAGCUGGAUGCCCACCUGCCAACCAGUAUUUGUUUUAUGCUUACUAUGUGCUGGGAUCUGGCCUACCUGCUGGGGAUCUAGACAGAAACAAAACAGAUGGAAAAGACAAC